AGAGUCAUAGCUCAGUGGUACAGCGAAUGCUUAGCAUGCAUGAGGUCCUGGGUUCCAUCCCCAGUACCUCCA
rnacentral:tRNA from 1 species